GUUUCUGUAGCACAAUGAAUAGUGCGUUGGACUUCUAAUCCAAAGGUUGUAGGUUCGAAUCCCACUUGGGAUA